rnacentral:rRNA from 2 species
AAAACGACUCUCGACAACGGAUAUCUAGGCUCUCGCAUCGAUGAAGAACGUAGCAAAAUGCGAUACUUGGUGUGAAUUGCAGAAUCCCGUGAACCAUCGAGUUUUUGAACGCAAGUUGCGCCCGAAGCCAUUAGGCUGAGGGCACGUCUGCCUGGGCGUCACGCA